CCCAACUUGGGGACGCUACUACUUAAAAAAUAACAGCAAUAGCAUCAGAUUUUAGGGUCAUGUUUAGCGCUCUAGGUUAGGGUUGAAAAAAAAAGCUAUGAGCGUUAGGGUUAGGGUUAAAACGGAAAACCAUUAGGGUUAGAGUUAGGCUUGAAAACGAAAAUCUAGAAGGGUAAAGGUUGAAUUGAGACGGGGCGUUUUAAUAUAUUUAUAUCCGCGACAGCGAUCAAAUGCGGAUGUUCAUUUCGUUGGAAUUGCAGGUUCUUUGAUCGGUGAGUGUUCUUGGGCCAUUUCAAGAGCGCCAUUGUGCUGGGAAAAUAACACUGCAUUAUGCAGUCCAAAGCAUUAUGCAGUGCUGUUUUUCCCAUUACAAUCUCGUUCUAAUAAUGGGAAUGGAGGAUUUAGCUGGCUAGCUAUUCUUCUCACUUUAAACGAAGGCCAUCUUUAGGGUUUGAAGAUGUGAUAGAUGUGCAGAGACAUUUUUAUAAGAUUAAUCUCACUGCUUUAUUACUUUUGGUGUGUUGGAGUCGUUUUAAUUGUAACCACAGCAGGAUUUGAUCGAAAAGGAAUCAAUUUUACCUGAUAUUCGUAUUCGAAUGCUAUCAGCACUAACCAUACGAUUUGUUUGUGGUUUUUUUGUUUUAGAUGCAAGAUGCUAGGCUCCUACCAAAAGGAUCCCUAAACUUUUGCGUUAUAAGGUGAUGGAGAACAAUGCACAUGCAAGUAUGGGACCAGUGGUGUUCAAAGGGAGACAUCAAUCAAGAUUGACGUUGACCAAUCCAAUAAAAAAAAUGGAGAAGAGAAAGUAGAUGUGUUUUCCCACGAGAAAAUAUGCAAUCAAGGCUUAUAAGAUUAGGACCACUUCGGUCCAUAGAUCAUAUCUCCACGAGUUUUCUUAUGUACAUCCCUGACUAGAUCUUUUCAUUCAUUUGGACUUGAUUGAAUGCUCUUUAGAGGCGUAGCAUUUAACUGUUGUAGGAGAGUAAGGAUAUAUGCUGAUCGUGUCUUUAGUUGUCUCUGAAAGGCAUUAAGCCUGUAAAGAUAUCAAAAGAUUGGCAGAAGCAGCAAAUAAUGUUGAGCUUUAGGUUUUUCUACUGUCUGCAGUUCUUUUUUGUUUCUUUUCAUACAUGCAUUUCUUUAUGGGAAAUACUAAGAGGACACCACACAAAUUCAACUAAGUUGUUUUUAUAGGGAAUGAGAUCUGUGUUGGUGAAUUAGCUAUGGAAUACAUAUGCUAAGUGUAGAUCGAUACAUAUUGUAGGCCAAUAGA